rnacentral:rRNA from 1 species
UGAAUACGAGACGCUACGGCGUCGAAGCAGUCUAUGUCAUACUUCCAAGAAAAGCUUGCACUGUCAUAAACAAAUAAUGCCUGUACCAUAACCGACACAGGUGGGUAGGUAGAGUAUACUAAGGGGCGCGAGAUAACUCUCUCUAAGGAACUCGGCAGAAUGACUCCGUAACUUCGGGAGAAGGAGUGCCUUAUUUAUAAGGUUGCAAUAACAAGAUCCAAGCAACUGUUUAUCAAAAACACAGGUCUCCGCUAAGUCGCAAGACGAUGUAUGGGGGCUGACGCCUGCCCAGUGCCAGAAGGUUAAAGAAGUUGGUUAGCAUUAGCGAAGCUGAUAACUGAAGCCCUGGUGAACGGCGGCCGUAACUAUAACGGUCCUAAGGUAGCGAAAUUCCUUGUCGGGUAAGUUCCGACCCGCACGAAAGGCGUAAUGAUUGGGAUACUGUCUCGGAGAGGGACUCGGUGAAAUAGACUUGUCUGUGAAGAUGCGGACUACCUGCACCAGGACAGAAAGACCCUAUGAAGCUUUACUGUAACCUGAAAUUGAAAUUGGACUUUAUUUGCGCAGUAUAGGUGGGAGGCAUUGAUAAUAUUCUUGCGGGAAUGUUGGAGCCAUCAGUGAGAUACCACUCUUGUAAUGUUAGAUUUCUAACUUUGUAUCAUUAUCUGGUCAAAGAACAGUUUCAGGCGGGCAGUUUGACUGGGGCGGUCGCCUCCCAAAUGGUAACGGAGGCGCACAAAGGUUUCCUCUGAACGGGUAGAAAUCGUAUCUAGAAUGUAAAAGCAUAAGGAAGCUUGACUGUGAGACCUACAAGUCGAGCAGGGACGAAAGUCGGUCCUAGUGAUCUGACGGUGCUGAGUGGAAAGGCCGUCACUCAACGGAUAAAAGUUACUCUAGGACAACAGGCUGAUCUCCCCCAAGAGUUCACAUCGACGGGGAGGUUUGGCACCUCGAUGUCGGCUCAUCGCAUCCUGGGGCGGUAGUACGUCCCAAGGGUUGGGCUGUUCGCCCAUGAAAGCGGUACGCGAGCUGGGUUCAGAACGUCGUGAGACAGUUCGGUCCAUAUCCGGUGUAGGCGUUAGAAUAUUGAGAGGAGCCUUCUUUAGUACGAGAGGACCGAGAAGGACAUACCUCUGGUGUACCAGUUAUCGUGCCAACGGUAAACGCUGGGUAGCUAUGUAUGGAGAGGAUAACCGCUGAAAGCAUCUAAGUGGGAAGCCCACCUCAAGAUAAG